UUUUUUUUUUUUUUGCUGUUGUUGUAAUUGGGCAGGCUGUUAAUAGGCUCCGCAGACGUCCUGAAGGUCCCUGAAAGCUGAAUGUGCUGUUUACUAAUCUGCUUGGGCUAGUAGAUUAGUUUGCCCUUUGAGAGAAUACAAAGGAUGAAUAUCUGCAGUAUGGUGUCCUAGCUUUGUUUUUAUUUGCUCUGCGGUAAUACCUACUGUCCCAUCUCGCAUCACAGCUCCAUCUAUUCCCCCAGUAGCCAGACUGCCAUUCAUGAGCUGCAUCUUGGCCAACAGGAGCAGUUGGGCAAACCCUUCCCAGCAGCGUCUUUCCUGGCUUGUAAGAAGAGAGAGUCAUGUAAAUAUGGCAGUGGAAAACAGAGAGAUGGCAAUUACCUGGAGGCAAGCGACAAAGCGCAGGUUGGGCCGGUGCAGCUGGUUUGUCUCACACAGCGCCAGCCGGUCCUGAUGGUGGUCCCAGGCACAGCUCCUUUUGUCAUUUCUUCAUUCCAGCCCAGGAACCUGUCAUCUCCUCUGAAGGCAGGCCUGGUUUGUGCCACCGAGAGCU
ensembl:lncRNA